UCUGCUGGUGCUGUGAACAAGGGGAUCUUACUUGAACCAGUUUUGCUAUACCUUAGUAGGGCUUUAUCAUAUAUAUUGCUGUUGGCAGCCAAAGACCAAAUGACUGUCAAACAGGCAUCAGACAUAUUUAUCAUCAAGACACUAAUAGCCUAUCAGUCAAUUUCAGAUCCAACCAUAUAUCGAAGAGACCAUGCCCGUCUUAUUCAGAUAUGUGGAACUCCUUAUAGGUGAAUGUUUGAUUCAGCUCAUCAGCUGUGACACAGCUAUGUACUUCCUUGGUGGGGUCAUUCCAUUUCUUUUCUACAAGGGCAUGUAUGUUCCCCUUUUCUUUUAUUUCUUUUGAAGAGCUACUUCAUUAUUUUUUUCUUUUUGGGACAGG
rnacentral:misc_RNA from 1 species